rnacentral:rRNA from 1 species
AGAUUAGAUGAAGCAAACGCUGUGAACUGAAACAUCUAAGUAGCAGUAGGAAAGUAAAGAAAUUUCGAUUCCGUCAGUAGCGGCGAGCGAACGCGGAAGAGCCCAAACCUGGAUGCUUGCAUCCAGGGGUUGUAGGACUGAUGUUGAGUUACAAAGGUAUAAGAUAGCAGAAACAGUUGGGAAGCUGUUCCAAAGAGGGUGACAGGCCCGUAUGCGAAAUCUUGUACUCUCUAAUCAGGAUCCUGAGUACGGCCCAGCACGUGAAAUUGGGUCGGAAUCUGGGAGGACCAUCUCCCAAGGCUAAAUACUAACUAGUGACCGAUAGCGAACAAGUACCGUGAGGGAAAGGUGAAAAGAACCCCGGAAGGGGAGUGAAAUAGUUCUUGAAACCGUGUGCUUACAAGAAGUUCGAGGCCGUUAAUGGCUGAGAGCGUGCUUUUUGUAGAAUGAACCGGAGAGUUACGAUUGCGUGCAAGGUUAAGGUGCAAAGACUGGAGCCGUAGCGAAAGCGAGUCUUAAUAGGGCGAAUCAGUACGUAGUUGUAGACCCGAAACCGAGUGACCUAUCCAUGGUCAGGUUGAAGGUGGGGUAAUACCUA